CGAUAGGGGGACUCCAAAGUGCACAGGGCAAUAUCGCCUCGUCGCUUUUCUGUACCCUAAGGUGGUACCAAGAAUAAGGGCUGGGCAAGACCGGUGCCAGCCGCCGCGGUAAUACCGGCAGCCCGAGUGAUGGCCGAUCUUAUUGGGCCUAAAGCGUCCGUAGCUGGCCACGCAAGUCCAUCGGGAAAUCCACCUGCUCAACAGGUGGACGCCCGGUAGAAACUGCAUGGCUUGGGACCGGAAGGCGCGACGGGUACGUCCGGGGUAGGAGUGAAAUCCCGUAAUCCUGGACGGACCGCCGAUGGCGAAAGCACGUCGAGAAAACGGAUCCGACAGUGAGGGACGAAAGCCAGGGUCUCGAACCGGAUUAGAUACCCGGGUAGUCCUGGCCGUAAACAAUGUCUGCUAGGUGUGGCUCCCACUACGAGUGGGUGCUGUGCCGCAAGGGAAGCCGCUAAACAGACCGCCUGGGAAGUACGUCCGCAAGGAUGAAACUUAAAGGAAUUGGCGGGGGAAACACAAAA
rnacentral:rRNA from 1 species